CAUUCCUGUAGGCAGCUCACUGCUAACAAAGACACCGAAGCUGGACUGCCCAGGGAUCCUCUUGGAGGUGUCUCCGUGAUUCCAGAGAAAAUGGUGCACAGACUGAGGUGAGUUCGGGAGAAGACCCGGCAUGCAAACAUUCUCCUGGGGAGACCUGGUCUCGAGGGAAGCCACGGCCUGGGGAAGCCUAGGACGCACGCGGCUAAUUACAACUGAGACUACAACUUUGUAGAAUGCCGUCGGGGGUCACUGAGAGGCCACGGACCCGGAGUCCUCCGAUUUGCCAUGUCGAUCAGCUUCAGCGGGACCAAGAUAGCAAUGCAUAAGUCAGGGAGGAGGAAAGGGGAGCGUAGCAAACCGCGCAGGAACCGUCCAGCUGGCGUCAGAGCCAGGGGCAGCGCGGUGCAAGGCUGGGUGGGCUCUGCGCCUGGCCUGGGGCGCCCAGGGCCGGCUGCAGACUGCGGGUCCGCUCCUACACUUCCUUCUUGAGCUGCACAUGCCGCACCUCGAUGGGACGCAGCGGGAGGGAAGCACGGAGGUGCGGGGUGUCCAUUUGGACUUAAAGCCCUCAGAUACGGAGAUUAAAGCCCAGGUGGCGGUGGACUGGCCAAUCCUGCUAUCGCUAGCCGCCUCCCAGCGGCUCCCGAGCAUUGCGAGGGACAGCAGAGCCAGUGCGCUUGGGCAAAGGCGGCUGCCCGGCUUUCUUCCGCCAGCAGGAGUCCAAGGACCCGCCUUCGUUCAUAGAAACCCAUCCGUUCCCCCGGCCGCGGCCGGAUAGCACCGCGUAGCCGCCCGGCUGUUGAUUAGUCCAGGAAAUGUCCGCGAGGUCAUCCGCACAACAAAGGCGGCCCCAAGCGGCGCCUUCAGUCUUGUAAAUACCCGGCCGGGUCCCCGGGCGAAGCGGAGCCCCGGGAGAGGAGCAGCCCAAGGAUCCCGCCGCUACUCCGCUCCCCUCCCCCACGACUUUGGCGAGCAUUCAUUUGAAAUGUUAAUGUUUUGAAGCUUCCCUCUGUGCCCGGAUCUGUCUCCUUGAAAGCGGGCUGAAGCCUCUGGGGUUAAUAAACAAACCGGCAUUUG